rnacentral:tRNA from 1 species
UCCCAGGUGGCUCAGUAGUAAAGAAUCUGCCUGCCAAGCAGGAGACACAGGUUCAAUACCUGGGUGGGGAA